rnacentral:rRNA from 1 species
UACGAAGGGGGACUAGCGUUGCUCGGAAUCACUGGGCGUAAAGGGUGCGUAGGCGGGUCUUUAAGUCAGGGGUGAAAUCCUGGAGCUCAACUCCAGAACUGCCUUUGAUACUGAAGAUCUGAGUCCGGGAGAGGUGAGUGGAACUGCGAGUGUAGAGGUGAAAUUCGUAGAUAUUCGCAAGAACACCAGUGGCGAAGGCGGCUCACUGGCCCGGACUGACGCUGAGGCACGAAAGCGUGGGGAGCAAACAGG